rnacentral:rRNA from 1 species
GCCCUUAGAGUUUGAUCCUGGCUCAGAACGAACGCUGGCGGCAGGCCUAACACAUGCAAAGUCAAACGAGANCUUCGGAUCUAGUGGCGGACGGGUUAGUAACGCGUGGGAACGUACCUUUCACUACGGAAUAGUCCUGGGAAACUGGGUUUAAUACCGUAUACGCCCUUCGGGGGAAAGAAUUUCGGUGAAAGAUCGGCCCGCGUUAGAUUAGAUAGUUGGUGGGGUAACGGCCUACCAAGUCUACGAUCUAUAGCUGGUUUUAGAGGAUGAUCAGCAACACUGGGACUGAGACACGGCCCAGACUCCUACGGGAGGCAGCNGUGGGGAAUCUUAGACGAUGGGCGAAAGCCUGAUCUAGCCNUGCCGCGUGAGUGACGAAGGCCUUAGGGUCGUAAAGCUCUNUCGCCNGGGAUGAUAAUGACNGUACCUGGUAAAGAAACCCCGGCUAACUCCGUGCCAGCAGCCGCGGUAAUAAGGGCG